rnacentral:lncRNA from 1 species
UUUUUUUUUGUCUUUUUUUUUUUUUUGGCUAUUUCUUGGGCCACUCCUGUGGCAUAUGGAGGUUCCCAGGCUAGGGGUGGAAUCGGAGCUUUAGCCACCGGCCUACGCCAGAGCCACAGCAACGUGGGAUCUGAGCCGCGUCUGCAACCUACACCACAGCUCAGGGCAACGCCGGAUCGUUAACCCACUGAGCAAGGGCAGGGACCGAACCCGCAACCUCAUGGUUCCUAGUCGGAUUCGUUAACCACUGCGCCACGACGGGAACUCCUCUUUUGUUCAUUUAUUUUUAUAUGGAAUGAUUUCUCUUGUUAUAUAAAAACAAUAGUUUUAAAUAUGGCAAUUGUAUAUCUUCUGCCUGAUGCUUUGUGGUACACAUAAAUCCUUUCGAGCUUAAAGGUCAUCUCAUACGCUAGUAGGGCUAGGUGUCUAGGUAUCCAUUUACAUUGUGGCAUUCUUCCCUUUGCAGACACAUACCAGUUAAUGGCAUUUUGAACACACUGGCAUUGUAAGUCCACAUCCCACACUCAGUUUGGUUACUUUUCUCCAAGCCUUGCAAGGUUUUCCCUGGCUCUCCUCUCCCUGGCUCCUUUAGUUUUCAUUCAGUACCAGUAGAGUCCCAAGUUCCUGACUUAAGCAAUAAGUAGUGAAAUAUCAUUGUUCAGUAGAAACAACAAGGCUAUAUUUCUUGUGUCGCUUUUGUUCAUUUUUCACUCAUUUGAUAAAUAUUUAUUGAGCAUAUUCAAUACUUAUAGUUGUACUUUGCUGACAGUGACUGAACAGGCAAGUCCCUUCUCUAUGGCUCUUUUGGUGGAGGAAUAAAUAUAGCUAUGUUAUAAGUUCAAUGUAUGGUAAGUUUUAUGAAGAAAGUUCGAGUAAUGACCUGAAAAAUUAGGCAGACUGUAUUUUCCUUCCUUAUGUAGGGUGGUCAGGAACAGCCUCUCAGAGGCAGUAAUGUUUGAGCUAAGGCCUGGAUGAUGAAAGAGACAACCAUGUGAAUCCUGGAGGAUAACUGUUUUGGAUACAAGCACCCAGGCCCUCAGGUGAGAACUGAUCAGCCUGGCUUGUAUAACGGGCAGAAGGAAGGCCAGAGUGACUGGGGAGAUCAGGUGGGAGGGACCUAUGGAGAGCAGGUGGAAUGCAGCACUGGGUCUGGAGAGGGGAAGGAGCAGUGGACUGGAGAAGAGUGUUGUCAAGGUAGGACUAACAGUACACACUAAUGAAUAGAGUAUGCAGAAAAGGUGGGGGAAAGGUCUUAGGAGUAAGUCCUACAUGUUUGACCUCAGCAACAGGAAGACUUUUGUCAUUUCAAAAUGUUUUGGAAUGAGAUCAAGUGAAAAGAUAGAACUAAAUGGGCAAAAAUAACAUGCUUGGGACAUACAAUAUUUAAGAUAUCUUAUAAACGGAGUUCCUGUUGCGGCUCAGUGGGUUAAGAACCUAACUAGUAUCCAUGAGGAUGCGGGUUCAAUCCUGUCCUUGCUCAUUGGGUUAAGGAUCUGGCACUGCCGUGAGCUACAGUGUAGGCCACAGAUGCAGCUUGGAUCCCACCUUGCUAUGGCUGUGGUGUAGUCUGGCAGCUAUGGCUCCAAUUUGACCCUUAGCCCUGGGAAAUUCCAUAUGCCUCAGGUGCAGCCCUAGAAAAAAGAGAAGGAAAAAAAGAUAUUUAAUAAACAUUUGAUUAUGCUAUGCAGAGUAGCAUUUGUGUGUGUCUGUGAAGUGGCACAGUAAUCUUUAAAAGUAUUUAAAAAUGAUUUGAGCAAAAGUAAUUAUUUGUAAUAUUUUUGGAGUAAAUAUUUAAUAUCCUAAUGCAAGUAUUUGGAGGUUAACUUUUGGUUUUGAUAAAAUUUUAAAUAUAAGAAAAUUUGCGGAGUUCCCGUUGUGGCUCAUAGACAUGAGCUGGUAAUAUUUUUAAUUUACUAAUAUUAGGUAAAAAGCAGGACUUACUCCCAAGAUUUUAAAAUCCUGCUUUUUGUAUUUUUAAGAUCAAACUCAAUGCUAUGUAUUUCAAAGCUUUUUGCACCUUUUGACCUUAAGAGACAUCAGCUGGCUAAUGGAUCGGAGAAUAGAAGCUUUAGUGCAAACAAAGAGUUAGUUCAUGUAGUCUAAAGAGAGUUAUACCUCUCCUAGCAUCAGGAAGCAAGAAGUGCUACUGAUACAUUGAAAGUAGGAGAAAGUUGCUAUUUCCAAGGCCAUAGCAAAAAGUAUGGUCUUUAAUAUCUAUGUUUGUUACAGGGAAGUAUACAAACAAAACAAGUCUGGAAAAGAAAUGUACCUAAAUCAGUUUUUGCAAAUGCCAUCAAGAGGUCUUGUCUUCCCAAAGAUGCCUGAAGAUCAUCCCCUUAAAUUAAUUUUUAUUACCCUCACAGAGAUAAUCAUUUUGAUUAGAGGCAAAAUGUUAAAGUAAGAGGAAAAAACAACUCAGUAGAAUAUAACGGUAGUGUUCCAUAUUAGAUGCAACUUUAUGCAAAUCACUUCAGCGAAUAUUUAUUUAGAGCAUUUUAUAUACAAGACUUCUAUCCAAGCUAGUACAGUAAUGUCAAGUUUUAAGACCCAGAGCAUGCCAUCUCAACUGCUCAAACACAUAGGAGGAAUGUAAAAAUAGCUUUUAAAAAUUAAAAAUUUAUAGUUAUACUAAAAAACCAGGAAAUGCAUAUUCAUAAAUCAAAACCGUAAAAGCAAUAAAAAGAAGUGAUUGAGUCUCAGCAUGGUAGAGACUUCCAUGGGUUCAGUUGCUAUGGGGCUAUCAAGGAAUAAGGCACCCCACAUAUGUUGAAAGGUCAUAUCCAGGCUCAUUGCCAUAGCAUUGUUAUAUUGUUUGGCAAAUGUUACUUUCAUGAAGAGUUCCUGUAGAGCUGGCAUUAUUUCUUCCUUAAAGGUUUGGGAGAAUUAAUGAGUGAAUUCACUCAGCUUGUUAUUUUCUUUCUUGGAAGGAAUUUAUGAAAUCAAUUCCUUUAUAUUAGUAAUCAUAUUAUCCUCAUUUCUUCUUGAAUGAACUUUGAUAGUUUUUUCCUUUCAAAGAAUUUGCCUGUUGGGUAUAAGCUGUUGAAUUUAUGGGCAUUCAAUUGUCAUAUUUUAUUAUCUUUUUAAUGUUUGUAGGAUCUGCAGUGAUAUUUCCCUUUUCAUUCUGAUGUUACCAAUUUGUAUCUUCAAUUUUUGUUUUAAUUUUUGUUUGGUGAGUCUGGCUAGAGGUUUAUCAUUUUUAUUGAUCUUUGCAAAGAACGCACAUUUGUUUUCCAUUCAGACUUGUGUUAUUUCCACUUUCAAUUUCAUUACUAUUUUGCCUGUAUUUAUUAUACUUUCUUUUAUCUCUUAAGAUUUAAUUUGCUUUUCUUUUAUCAGUUUCUUAAAGUGGAAGAUUAGAUCAUCAAUUUGAGACAUUUUUUGCUUCCUAACCUAAACAUUUAAUGUUAUACAUUUCCCUCUAAGCACUGCUUUAACUGCAUUCCACACAUUUUGGUUUUUUGUUUUCAAUUAAAACAUUUUCUAAUUUCCCAUGUGACUUCCUCUUUGACUCAUGGGUUAUUUAGCAGUAUAUAGUUUAACUCCAAGUAUUUGGAGAUUUUCCAGAUAUUGUUGCUACUGUUUUCUAAUACUCUGCUGUUGUUAGUUGGAAUGUUCUCUCAUACUAAUUACAUAAAGUUGGUUGAUAGAGCUGUUUCAGGCUUUAAUAUCCUUAUUGAGUUUCUGUCUACUUGUUAUGUAAUUGCUGAAAAAGAACUGUUGAGGAAUCCAAGUAUUAUGGAUAUAUGAGAUCCAAACUAUGGAUUUGUCUAUUUCUCCUUUCAGUUCCAUUAUUUUUUACUUCAUGUAUUCUCAGGCAUUCAGCAUUGUUUCUUAUUGUUAGUGAACUGAUUUUUUUUCCCCCAUCAUUUUGUAAUGUAAUUUUAGCCCUGGUAAUAUUCCAUGUUCUUAAGUCUAUGUCACACUGCUUAAGGUGUUUAUGUUUUAUAACAUUGGCCUUUAUUUCUUGGCUUAUGGAAUUAAAACUAAGCUUAGAUUGUUAUGAAAUGAAAUGGUAGAAGAAUUGAGCAGGCUGAAAAUGAUGAAUAAUUCAGAUGAGGAAACCAAGGCUUGGUGAGUUGAAACAAGGAAAUAGAGGCUCAAAUGAGAGGUUGAGAUGAGGAAACUGCAGCUUUGAGAGGCUAUAUGAUACCCAGCUAGUUAGAGGCAGGAACCAGGGCCACUGUACUUGCCUUGGGUAAUCUCUAGUUCCACUCAAACUGAAAACAUUCUUCCAAUGAUUUUCCUCUGAAUGAACACCUUAUUUUAUAAUAGUUUUUAAGUUACACAGUAGAGAU